rnacentral:misc_RNA from 1 species
UGUCGUGGACAAUCAUUCCUCUAGACGUACAUUUACACAUACGCUCAAGCAACCUACCCGAACUCUCAGCGGGCCACCGAUUGAGUUCCUAUUUGGUCUUGCUACGAGUGGAGUUUACCCUGCUGUGGAAUGUUACCACCCACACGGUGCGCUCUUACCGCACCCUUUCACCCUUACCGACAAAGCCGGCGGUCUGCUCUCUGUUGCACUGGUCGUAGGCUCACGCCCCCCGGACGUUAUCCGGCACUCUGCCCUGUGUAGCCCGGACUUUCCUCCCAAAAA